ACGGGUGCGUAACGCGUGGGAAUCUGCCCUUGGGUUCGGAAUAACAGCGAGAAAUUGCUGCUAAUACCGGAUGAUGACGUAAGUCCAAAGAUUUAUCGCCCAAGGAUGAGCCCGCGUAGGAUUAGCUAGUUGGUGAGGUAAAGGCUCACCAAGGCGACGAUCCUUAGCUGGUCUGAGAGGAUGAUCAGCCACACUGGGACUGAGACACGGCCCAGACUCCUACGGGAGGCAGCAGUGGGGAAUAUUGGACAAUGGGCGAAAGCCUGAUCCAGCAAUGCCGCGUGAGUGAUGAAGGCCUUAGGGUUGUAAAGCUCUUUUACCCGGGAUGAUAAUGACAGUACCGGGAGAAUAAGCUCCGGCUAACUCCGUGCCAGCAGCCGCGGUAAUACGGAGGGAGCUAGCGUUAUUCGGAAUUACUGGGCGUAAAGCGCACGUAGGCGGCUUUGUAAGUUAGAGGUGAAAGCCUGGAGCUCAACUCCAGAAUUGCCUUUAAGACUGCAUCGCUUGAAUCCAGGAGAGGUGAGUGGAAUUCCGAGUGUAGAGGUGAAAUUCGUAGA
rnacentral:rRNA from 1 species